rnacentral:lncRNA from 1 species
AAGAAGGGUGAAUUUGAUUCAGUGGAGGGGACUUUGUAACUUCUUUGGACAAAUUAAGCUUGACUGGGCACUUGGACUAACUUAGAGUAAAUUACCUUUUGGGCUCGAACCCAAAGGAGACUAAGAGUGAUUCGGUUACACACCCUGGUCCUCCGUGUCAGGUCUCUUGCGCACCUUCCCCCUCCUUUCCCUUUCUACCGGAGCUGAGCUGACCCCCGCCCAGACCGAGCCAGGCAAAUGGGAACCCGGGUAGAACAAGCCGAUUUCUCUCCUGUCACAUCCUCCUGCUCAGUAAUUUAAUAGUAAACUAGGGAAUAUUCAUCCAUUACAUGUAAUGACUGUAACUACCAUUUUCCACCUUUAAAAAGGCAAGGAAAAAAAAAACCCACCAUUAAGAGAAGGUGUGUGUGUGUUGGGGGGGGGGGGAAGAGCCCCACCCAGCCCAAACAACCCCACAAAUAGUAACAAUGGUGUGUUUAUUACAAGUCCCUGUUUGGGAGCUAGCAAAAUGUUUUUCUUUGUUUAAUACAUGAAGGGGAGGGGGAUCCUAAAUCCCAGCAGCUCGGAGGUACUCUGCCCGCCCCCCCCCCCGCCCCCCAGGCGUCCGCUGCAUUGGCCCCCUUGGGAAAGCCGACAAAUUGGAGAUCAGUUGAGGAGAGGUUUAUAAGCUGUUUCUUUAAAACAUCUGCUUUGCUCUUGUGGCCAUUACAUUUCCCUCCUUCCGAACUUCCGAGAUCCUAGAUGGCUGAGAAAUGUUUC